rnacentral:misc_RNA from 1 species
UGGUGACUCCGGCAACGGUCAUUCCAGAGGAUUCUGCUGUAAAGUAUAGUGGCGUCUGGCCAUGGGAACUGAAGAGCCAAAAGAUCCAUUCAAGGGGGUUGACUGGAAAGCCAUAGGCGGUGAAUUGCAGAAGGACCCUAGUGCUGGUGCUAAACCAGUCAUAAAGAAACGGUUACCAAAAAAGAUUAGACAAAUUCCAGAUUACUAUUUCCUUCCUCGAAGAUCUCUACCCUCUGCAAUUGCAUUCUAUGGGGCAUGUAUUGCAGGUGGAAUUGGUGCUGGUAUGCUUCUUGAGAUCUGGAUAAACAAGAAAGUUAAAGAGGAUGGAGGCGUCAUAUGGGAGUUUGAUAAAUAAAGUCUGGAUUUCAUUGCAUCAGCUCCUCUCUGGGCUUCCAUUGUUCCUUCGCUGGUAUGAUGUUAUCUCUUAUUAUUCGUUGGAAUUACAACUGCAGGGGAAACUAUGAGAUUGAUUACCAUAAGCGUUUCUUUUUAACUUGAAACUUCAAAUUAGUGACUAAAGUUUCAUACCAUGAUGGAGGACCCUUCAAUU